GAAAGGUGACACAUCUCCUACGUGGCUCUCUCUAGGAAAGCUAACUCUGGGGGCGUAGCCACCAUGGUGUGAGGAGCCCAGGACACAUGCGGGGGGCCCGUAAGGGUGUUUCAGCCAAGAGCCAGCAGCAACUGCCAGGGACCAGCCAGAUCAGAUUCCCGGUCAGCCUGACGUCAGAGCCUGCCCUGUCCCCUCAAGUCACAGAGCAUCCAGGGUCUCACUGCCAAGUUUCUCCUCAACAGACCGAACCUCACCAGCCACGGGCUGAGGCCUGGGACUUGGGUGUGCGGUGGGGGCACCCCGUGCCCUCUGAGCGGCCCCAGAAGUCCUGCCUGUCCAGUUCCCGGGGCUGCAUGCUUGAAGCUGUCAGCCCGCUAAGUUCACUCACUGUGGCCAAGGCUUAGGGAGCUCUCUCCAAAGUGAGUUUCUUCACGCUGUGGUUUUGGCACACCUGGCCUUUGGUUAUUUCCAACAGAGGUGGUCAGUGAAACCUGCCCAUCAGGAAACAAGUUGAUAAAUGGUAUCAUCUAAACUA